rnacentral:rRNA from 1 species
GACGAACGCUGGCGGCGUGCUUAACACAUGCAAGUCGAACGGCAAGGCACUAAUUUUGUGGGGUGCUCGAUUGGCAAACGCGGGCGUAACACGUGAGUAACCUGCCCUUGACUUUCGGAUAACUUCAGGAAACUGGGGCUAAUACCGUAUAGGAGCUCCUGCUGCAGGGUGGGGGUUGGAAAGUUUCGGCGUUUGGGGAUGGACUAGCGGCUUAUCAGCUUGUUGGUUGGGUAGUGGCUUACCCAGCCUUUGACGGGUCGGCGGCCUGAGAGGGUGACCGGCCACAAGGGGACUGAGAGACGGCCCAGACGCCUACGGGAGGCAGCAGUGGGGAAUAUUGCACAGUGGGCGGAAGCCGGAUGCAGCAACGCCGCGUUCGGGAUGACGGCCUUCGGGUUGUAAACCGCUGUCGCCUGUGACGAAGCUUGAGUGACGGUAAUGGGUAAAGAAGCACCGGCUAACUACGUG